rnacentral:rRNA from 1 species
GAUGAACGCUGGCGGCGUGCCUAAUACAUGCAAGUCGAGCGAACAGACGAGGAGCUUGCUCCUUUGACGUUAGCGGCGGACGGGUGAGUAACACGUAGGUAACCUACCUAUAAGACUGGGAUAACUUCGGGAAACCGGAGCUAAUACCGGAUAAUAUUUCGAACCGCAUGGUUCGAUAGUGAAAGAUGGCUUUGCUAUCACUUAUAGAUGGACCUGCGCCGUAUUAGCUAGUUGGUAAGGUAACGGCUUACCAAGGCAACGAUACGUAGCCGACCUGAGAGGGUGAUCGGCCACACUGGAACUGAGACACGGUCCAGGCUCCUACGGGAGGCAGCAGUAGGGAAUCUUCCGCAAUGGGCGAAAGCCUGACGGAGCAACGCCGCGUGAGUGAUGAAGGGCUUCGGAUCGUAAAACUCUGUUAUUAGGGAAGAACAAACGUGUAAGUAACGGUGCACGUCUUGACGGUACCGAAUCAGAAAGCCACGGCUAACUACGU